CUUCUGAGAUGAAUAUCCCACAAGCUCUGUUUCCCAAAUCUUCUGCUAAUGGAUUUCCCCGUCGAAGAGGUGAUAGAGGGUGGGGCUAGGUUGGAGAAUAAGGUGCAGUCAGGAAAACCUAAUCAGGGAAGAAAUCAAACUACAGGUGAAGUGGCUGGUGGGAAGGCUGGAGGAUAUGAGAGUUCUUCCCGUGAUCGGCUACUUUUUCUCACAACCUGUCUCAUUGGGAUAUGGUGGAAGUCCAUGUGAAAAAUGGAUCAAUUUACACUGGAAUAUUUCAUGCAACUGAUGCAGAAAAGGAUUUUGGAAUAAUCUUGAAAAUGACUCGCAUGACAAAGGAAGGUACUUCGCAAGGAAACAAGGCUGUUACUGAGUUUGUUAGCAAGGCACCCACAAAGAUUUUAAUUAUACCUGCCAAAGAACUUGUGCAAGUUAUAGCAAAGGUUUUGCUAAUUUUCCUAUCUUUAGAGUUCCAUCCCUAAUCGAGUUGCCAGUAAGAGAUGAAUUGUCAAGUAGUUUAUGGGGGCUUUCUAAUUAUUGAUAGUCUGUUUCAGUUAGAUCAUUAUGAAUGAAUAGUGAAAACUUGGUUAAAAUAAAAUAAUGCUAUU